rnacentral:rRNA from 1 species
GUCGCACCUACCGAUUGAACGGUCCGGUGAGGCCUCGGGAUUGUGACCAGUUCACUUCAUUGUGAGUUGGUUGUGAGAACUUGUCCAAACCUUAUCAUUUAGAGGAAGGUG